CGAUGCGCGGCCGAUAAUGUAGCGUCAGCCAUGCACUGUACCGCAUUUUGGUUAAGCGUGAUCACGCUCGCGAUCCUCUUGUUUUGGGCUGUGGAGCGUGGAAACACCACUUCGGACCCGGAUCCCCGGAAUAUAAUUUACAUCAUCACCCACGGGAAAAGGAAACACAAAGGGAAGAUCAUUGAGAUACACAGGCAUCGUCCAAAGCACAAGCUGAACAUCAUACUCGUCAAUUCGUGAAUAGAUCUCGAACGAAAUUUGUUUAAAGUGACGGAGAACCAGGAAACGUUUCUUUCUCGAGAAAAAGAUCAGAGGAAAUAACAAUGGGCAAUUGUAAAAUGUGUAUUGAGACUAUAUGAUAUGUAAAAAUUUGAUGCUUCGUCGUUAAAAUGUAUGCAUGCAAAUGUUUAAUGUUAAAAAUGAAUAUUCGUAUACGUUUACAUGUAAUCCUUAUUUCAUUAUGAAGAUUAAUGAAUAUGUUUUGUUUCACGCGAUAUUCGCGCGUUUAAACGCGCAAGUUUGCACGUUUCGUAUAACUUACGGGUCAGUCUCUUUGUCGAGCGACAUCAUGCUCAACGACACUCGUAAGUUAGUCGUUUAUUAUGGAAUUAUAUGCAAUUCUAACGGUAUGUAGGCGAUCGUCCCACCAUGGCAGGAACUUAACUAUCGUGCAGAGUGAUAAAUAUUACAGUUAUUACGCGUAUGUAUAUGCAACAGUUGUUAAACAAGGGAACGAGAACUAGAAGAGGAGGAUAUUGUAAGAGUGAAUCGACUCGAACGUUUCUUACUUGGAUUUAAAAUAUUCAAAGUAAAUUAUGAAAUAUUUAUUAUACAAAAUUCUAAAUCUCUUUUUUUUACAGGAAUAUUCUCGAAAUCUUAAUAUUUUUCAAACGAUAAGAUACUUAAAUCGCAAUCGACCCGAGGUUAAUCAAUUGAUCAUCAAUUCCUCUUGGCAAAUUUCCAAUCUUUGAUCCUGUAUCCGCCAUUCUACACUUUUUCACGAUUUCACUUUCGUUCACGAGGGAUAUGGUUUCUGCUUGAAGAGCUAGUCACGAGGGAAAGAUAGAAAGAGAUAGAAAGUUUCGUUUUGAACUGAAUAUCUAAGAGAUCCCAAAGAGCUUCAACGACAUUGUCCAUGAUCAAUAUACAAUAUGCAAUAUAAUGGAACAUAUAGUGAGACAGAAGAGCAUAACCAUGAGCAAAUAGAAAAUGUUAGGGCCUAAAAUCUGAAGAUUCCAUUUCGCUAAUUUCCCUAACUUUACCCUUGAAGAAGUGCUGAACAUUGGAUUAAAGUUUGAAGCCUCCACUCAGCUAAUUUUGCAAUUCCUAACUUUCCCCUAGAUAGAUCUAAAGUCUGUGCUAAUUUUCCAUUAUUCUCAUCUCGUCCAGAAAAUGUAUAGCGGAUAACCCAAUAGAAUCUCAAACUCUGAAAUUUUCAAUCUUACCGCUAGCUUCGAAUCACUUAUCCUAUAAUAUUAUCUAACCGCUUGAAGUUAUACUCGCAAAAUGGUAGAAGCAACAGAGAGCAAAGGAACACCGGAAGCGUUCGGUCAAGGUAAGACGUUGCCUCUGCUCGCGGCGUAUAUGCACAUUCGUUCUCAACCGCGCUUUCCUCUCGAUGAAACGUUUUCCCUGCCUGGCAAAGGCAUCGGUUCUCCCAUUAAUUGCAUUCUGCUCCUCGUUCCACGUUUCCUCGCUUUCGUUUCCCUUCUCGAGUUAGUUUGAUAGCAUUGAACACCAUGUCGAGAAAUGACUUUAGAAUAAGAUUCACCAAAAAUUUUUUUACUCGAAACUCGGCUUCGAAUCUGGCUAAUAAAUUGAUUGCACAAAGGUGACUAAUUUAUGUGUGACUUUAGCAAGAACAAUGUUGAUAUUUAGAGAGCGAAUUUCGUGAGAAAUGUUUCAUUCGCACGAAUUAUUUAAGCGAAGUACAGUGUAAGAGUGAAAAUAAGAGGGUGAGGAAAGGAACUUGAUUUAAACUUGUUAUUAAGAUUGAUAUACCCCUUGGUGAGGAUAAUCACUGGUGUUAAACUAGAUUGUCACUGAACUUCAAUCGAGAUCAAAUGUUUUGACCUUUA